rnacentral:rRNA from 1 species
AUUGAACGCUGGCGGCAUGCCUUACACAUGCAAGUCGAACGGCAGCACGGGAGCAAUCCUGGUGGCGAGUGGCGAACGGGUGAGUAAUAUAGCGGAACGUGCCCAGUAGUGGGGGAUUACUGCUCGAAAGAGCAGCUAAUACCGCAUACGACCGGAGGGUGAAAGGGGGGGGAUCGCAAGACCUCUCGCUAUUGGAGCGGCCGAUAUCAGAUUAGCUAGUUGGUGGGGUAAAGGCCUACCAAGGCAACGAUCUGUCUUUGGUCUGAGAGGACGACCAGGCACACUGGGACUGAGACACGGCCCAGACUCCUACGGGAGGCAGCAGUGGGGAAUUUUGGACAAUGGGCGCAAGCCUGAUCCAGCAAUGCCGCGUGCAGGAAGAAGGCCUUCGGGUUGUAAACUGCUUUUGUCAGGGAAGAAAUCCUCUAGGUUAAUACCCUUGGGGGGAUGACGGUACCUGAAGAAUAAGCACCGGCUAACUACGUGCCAGCAGCCGCCGUAAAAC